rnacentral:lncRNA from 1 species
AAGAGACAAAGAAAGCCUGCCUGAAUAGAGAAGGAAACAGUUAAGAAUAACUACCAAAGGUGUCUUCCUGAAUCCUUUCCCUCUCUGAAGGUUCAAAUCAUCUGGCUUCAAAUCAAAGUAAAAAAAAUAGGUGGAAAAUAGAGAAUUGCCCUUCUAGUCUUCCUACUUUGGAAUUCCUUUUUAAAUAGCAGCUUUCAAAUAUCUUUUUAUAAUAAAUGUUUUACCUUGUAACAUUUAAAUUCUCAUUCAAGGCAAAUAUGAAGUUCACUCAAAAGCAGGACAGCUAAGGAGUUAUUUGACUAGGCAGUCUUUGUUGCUGUUUCAAAAGGCCAAAAUAAGGCUGAGGAGGAAAAUUUCCCCAAUGAUCACUCUUAAAGUGAUUCAAUAAAUUGGUUACGAUGGAGAAAGACACUUAGCCUAAGUGCAAGUGCUGUCUUUUUGGGUAAAAUCCGUGUAGUCUAGAUGCAGUUCUGCUCCAAAUCCAACAUCCAAAUGCCUAUCUGCAAUCAGCAGACGCGGGCAGACAAAAUUUAACCUAAAAUGCAAACUCUCAAAACUUAAGCACACUUAAAAGGUAAACUAAGUUUACAAAUCCAAUAACUGAUACCAUCACUUCUGGUUUUGAAGGAAAUCAUAAAUGCAAAUUUCUCAAGUAUCCUCAAUCUUUUAGGAGGUUCACUUUUAUUUUGCUAAUCCGUCAAAAUACAUUCAAGCAUGGCACAAAAAUUAUAUUCAACACUAGGUUCUGUACCACCUGCUCCCAUGAACUCUUAAAUCUGAAUAAUGUUCAGAUAAUUUUCAUAGGUGGAAGUGGUCAAAACAUACAACCAAUUGUCCCUCCUCCCCAAGUCCCACAUGCCAAAAUGUUUGCAUAUAAACUGACAAGAGGAACCCAGAAGUGACUAAAUACCACUAUGCUUUUUUCUUCACUACAAAUAGCAAUUUUAAGGGUAGACACAUGACAAUGAAGUGUUAAUAUACCAUGAACAGAACAGGUUGCCUUCCUAAUACACAGAAAAUCCUUUUACAUAAUUCAUUUGCAAACUUUAGAAGCCACUAUAUUCCCAUGUUGGGAAUAAUAUGACAACCUUAUUAAACUGAAAACCCUGAGAAAGGUGUACUAUUCCAAUUGACCCAGAUCUUCCCACCAAAACUGAGUAAGUCAAGCAGAGUAGUAUUUAACAAUUACAACGAAAAAUUUCAGAGAAUCAUUUUCUGUAUCCUAGAGGCCACUCUACAGCCACCAAAAAGCUGGACCAAAUUACCAAAUGAAGUAGCCCACAUGUAAUUUGUGUAUCACUAGAAUUAAAAAAUAAGACAGAAAUGUAUGGAAAGUGUACAACUAUUUGAGAGCAAAGGAUUUGACUAUGUAUUACCUCAAUGUGUAAAAACAUCCACCCCGUUUGUCAUAGAGGAUAUAACACUAUUUGUACCAACCAUCCGCUACCCUUUGUCAAAAUGACUACUGAGCAGCUAUAACCUAGCCUAAUAAUCUUAACCUUUCUUCUUACUUCUUUAAAAGCCCUGCCAAUCAGGAAAAAAAAAAAAAAAACUGGCAAGAACUAGACCUUAGGAAUUGAACAGUGACAAGAAGUUAAAAAAUGGUUCAAUAUUAAAAUAUUAUUUUAUUUUAAAGCCCAAUCUUUCAGAAAGC